GUUACCGUAGAAACAGAUCACACUGUUGUUUAGUGUAGCUGGUUAGCUAGCAACAUUUUCGCGUAGGAAUUUGUAAUCCAUGACAAAUUAUGUGUACGAGUUGAACAAGUUGCUGCAUCGCUUGUGCGGGAAUUUCUCUGUCGGAAGGAAUCCAAUAGAUAAUGCUAGACUCGACGCCCCCUAAUCUUCUUCUGGUAAAUGAAGAAGACAGCAAAAACAGCAGAGAUGGGCCUCCAUUGAUUGUCCAGUCACAGAGAAUGGUUACAGGGCUGACCGAGCUCUCCCCUGCUGAGAGAAAGCCAACAGCCACGUAGCACACCGGGGAAAGGAAGUGAUGAAGAUGGAUAUGGGUUUGAGAGAGUAGGAAAAAAACAAAAAAAUCAAUGACCAAUCAAAAUGAUGAUCUGCACAUGUCGGAGAAGAUUUUGGAGCUCAUCCUUGGAUCUAGCAGCAGUUUUUCAGUGCCGAGUGGAGGAGUUAGAGUUUCACAUUCUCAGAUACACCUGAUCUGAGAUAUGGGAUUGUACAGAAGAAGGAGCGUGUCAAUUUAUUGCGGUGUGGACGGGCUGUAUUGAAUGUCUUCAACAACCACAAGGAGCUCGAUUCAGGCACUGGAAACCUGAACCUUCUCAAGGGAACAAGAGGUCGCAGUGACAUUUAGAAUGCUGUCUUUAUUUGAACGUUAUAAUAUCUGCAAGCUGUAGGCAGCACAGGAAUAUCUGCCGGCUGCCAAGAUAUCAACACUGAUCUCAUUCCUCCUCUUGAACACUGUAUACGGACAAAAAAGAUGCCAUUGUCGAUUGGAAUGACACCAAGCCCAUACUUUGAUUGGCUAGUGGCUAGAAGGUGAUGACAGUAGAUGAGAUUAGGCCUUCCCCAUGGCUGGAGACAAAAUAUACUGCUUUGUUAUUAAAUAGAUGUACUUACAAGUAUAUUUGUAUUGUAUAAAGUAUAUUAUUUGUAUUGUAUUAAUAGUAUUGUCUUUUAUCAACAACCACACGUUUUGACACGAUCAUGGAGGCCAUUUUGUCCAUGUCACUGAUGUCUUGAGAUGUUGCUUCAAUAUAUCCACAUACUUUUUCUCAUUGGUUUUGAAGAUGUUACAGUAAGUGGUGCAGGAAGUGUUGAUGCAUACGCCUUAAAACGAGUCAUUACCUCAUUGUAUCUUACAUGGACAUGCCCAAGAUAAAUAGGAGUGCCUUGGAUUUGUCAUAGCCUAUGACAUGCAUCUUUCAAGACCAUUAGUCUUAAUGUAUUACAAUAUCCAUAAUGUAUUAUGAUAUGUGGUGUGUAUUUUUGACUAAGUAUUUUAUAUGACUGGUCAGAGUAAUCUGUUUUAUUAAGGUAAAAGUUGUGGAUCACCUGUA